GAGCUUAAAUAUAGCUCUUUAUCAGGGAGGUCCAUCUGAAAGGUCUUCUCUAACCCUGUAUUUUUAUUAUUUUACUCUAAGUCCAACCAUGGCAAUUCAAAUGUCUUUGCAGAGCAUACUCUAAAUAUCAUAAUAGUGUAUGGAAUAUGUCAAGCAAAUGGAACUUUUCAACAGUUAAUCAAGAAAGCCCAUCAUCAUAAGCCUAAUCUGCACUGCUCUAACAAGAAACCUGAUCUUUCUUCUACUUUGAUGGAUCAGGAUACCUUCCUUAUGCUAAGCACAAAACUGACUUCCUCUGGGAAUGAACAAGUGUUAUGCUGUAAGGGAUACUUGCUUUACGACUCUUGAUUCCUCACUUGCAAAGUUGUCAUGAAUGAGUUUAUGAACUGCAAAAAUCAUAAAAACAAUUGAACAUUUCUUCAAAACAAAACAGAACAUGAAAAAUACUCUCUCUUCUAAUUUCAUAGGAUUUCAGUGUGAAUUUCAGCAAUUAUUUUAAUCCAAGACUUCAUCUCAACUUUUCGGGAUGUAGGUGGGUUUUUUUGUUUUGUGUUUUGGGGUUGGGUUUUUUUUUUGUUUGUGGAUUUUUUUGUUUUGUUUUGUGUCCCAGAUGCUGGACUUGGCAGCCAUGCCACUUAUAUAUAGGUAUCAUGAGCUCAAUACAUAAAAUGCAACAUGUAAUUCAAAGUGCUUACCAGAAAGCAUGGAAAGUCUUAGGAGCCCUAAACUAGAUAAAUAUAGCGCAUCUCGAAAAACCCCCAAAUAACCCAUACCAUAGUUUAACAAACAGUUGAUCAUUAGUGUCUAUGAGAUUCAGUUUCCAGGUGCUUAUGCUA